CGAAUAUCGAUUCUUGAUUCAACGGAUAAUAACGGAUUUUUUCAGAUAGUUAAAUCAAAUUUCAUCCAUGAGUUGUUCUUUAUUAUUCCUUAUUUUUUUUGACUUUGAUGCAACAUAAACGAAUUGAACUGUGAACGUGUUUUUCUGCAGUGUGGGUUGUCAAAAUAAUAACUUUCUUCAUAGCAUGCAGCCUCGAGAUUUGAUUUGCGAUCUUUAGUUAAAAAAAAUUAAUUCGUAUCAAUCUUUUUUUUUUUUUGUUGAUUCUUAUAGCAUAUAUUUCUUGGUUGUUUUUAUUUACUCUUUGGUGUUGCAGUAGAGGAUGUGGUUUUGAUUUCAUGAUAUCUUGAUCAGUUUUACUAUUAAUUUGUUGGCAGUCUGUUUUCUGCCGUGUCGUCUGUUUGAAGCAAUAACUUGCUUUGUAGCAUCAAACAAUCAAGUUCGUUUUGGCACACUCUUCUUGAUUGGGAAUCAUUUUCAUAUAAUUUAUUCUCUGGAGUUUUAUUGUCCCUGUGUUAUCAAAUUAUUACUCCUUUACACAUUAGGUUUUCUUACAUAAGUUUUUGACAAUGUAAAAGCCCUGUUGAUCAGUGACUUGGCCCAUAGCAUUCAUCUCCACCAUAACCUCAGGUGUUGUUUCUUAUGAUCAUCUAUUUUGUUGGGCGAGGCUUUAGUUAAUCUUGUACUAUUUUGUUAUAUUUAUUGUUAUAUGUGAUUUAUGCUGCUAAAAAUAUAUCCGCUUCAUUUUACUGUAUUAGGAGGAAUCGAAAAUUGGGUCAUAUGGGUACAUGAUGUGGAAAGAAUUUGUUCCAGUGAAUGAUCAUCUUCUGAAGGCUUUAAUCUGGUCAUAUCUUCUACGAAUCUUGACAUUUCAGCUAGUUUACUCAGUAUCUACUUCUGCAAUUCUGUUAUUUGUGUUGGUUUUACAGGGGAGAGGUUCACAUGCGUUCCUUUCAGCCAAUAAAUGUGCGGAACCGGUGGCAGGCAGAGGUUUACAUACUUUUCAUACAGCCUUGGGAUAAAACAGUGCCGUAAGGACUUAUCUGUACUACAUGUUGGAGAACUAGUAUCUGUUGUCCUUUACUAAAUUGGUAUGCCUCACAAAUUGUGAAAUCACAAAACCGACCUGAUGACAAGAAACCAUCAUUUGGCUAAUCUUAUCAAAUAUCAGGAUCAACCAGACCGACCUGAUCUUUCUGUUCCUCAAAGCUUGCAAUUGUAUCUGAGAUUUGACCAGCUGAUAAUUGCCGCUGAAUUUGAACUCUGGCAGCUCUCAAGGUCUUCACUUCUUGCUGAACUGGUAGGAUAUUCUUAUUAUUUGAAGCACAAUGCUUUGAUCUGGCUUUCUGUAUUGUAACGAUUCAGUUCUCUGUAGUGUCAACUAUCAAACCUUAUUUUUGGUUCAUUGUUUCUCUGUUGAUUCUUACUGUUUAUUCUUUUUGAUUUACAAAAGAUAAAUAUAUGAAUGUGCGAUUAUGGCAGAGAUUAUAAUUGGUUUUUGAAGUUUAUAUGAUUUUUAAGAAUCUGUGUGUGUAUUUUAGUUUUGUGCAGUGACCCAAGGACUCCUCCAUAUUACGAAGAUUGCCUCAAUUAUGCAAUUUCAUGUUGAGUACAAGAUCUUCCAAAGUGGGUGGAAAAUCAUUGCAAUGAACAUAGGCUGUGUCGAAUACUGACACAACUGUGUCAUCAUUUUAGUCUUUGUUUGAUACUCAGCAUCUAUUGUUUGCAGUUCCGUGAGUUUUAUGUGUGGGUGUUGAAUGUGCAGUGUGCUGUGGAGCCUGUGGCAGGAUGAGAAAAAUUAUGGAUUUCUUGCUUAUUUGAACCGGUGGAAUUUGAUUGGGUUGGGUAGCACAUUGGGCCAAACCCGACACACGUACACCCCCCAAGUGUAAAGCUACUUGCUGCUGCUGUAAGUCCUAUGC